rnacentral:rRNA from 1 species
UACGUAGGGGGCAAGCGUUGUCCGGAUUUAUUGGGCGUAAAGAGCGUGUAGGCGGCUUUACAGGUCCGUUGUGAAAACUCGAGGCUCAACCUCGAGACGCCGAUGGAAACCAUCAGACUAGAGUCCGGAAGAGGAGAGUGGAAUUCCUGGUGUAGCGGUGAAAUGCGCAGAUAUCAGGAGGAACACCGGUGGCGAAGGCGGGUCUCUGGGCCGUUACUGACGCUGAGGAGCGAAAGCGUGGGGAGCGAACAGG